rnacentral:snoRNA from 1 species
AGACCAUGAUGUGGGCUACGCCUAAGUAAGUCCUUGUAUUUAUCCCAAGCUUCAUUUAACGACUCACUAUCAAACUGUAUGAAUGAAUUGAUAUGGUUUCUCACUUU